rnacentral:rRNA from 1 species
GACGAACGCUGGCGGCGUGCUUAACACAUGCAAGUCGAGCGGUAAGGCUCCUUCGGGAGUACACGAGCGGCGAACGGGUGAGUAACACGUGAGCAAUCUGCCCUUCACUCUGGGAUAACCCUCGGAACCGAGAGCUAAUACCGGAUACGAUCACUUCAGGCAUCUGAUGGUGAUGGAAAGUUCCGGCGGUGAAGGAUGAGCUCGCGGCCUAUCAGCUUGUUGGUGAGGUAAUGGCUCACCAAGGCUUCGACGGGUAGUCGGCCUGAGAGGGUGACCGGCCACACUGGGACUGAGACACGGCCCAGACUCCUACGGGAGGCAGCAGUGGGGAAUAUUGGACAAUGGGCGAAAGCCUGAUCCAGCAACGCCGCGUGAGGGAUGACGGCCUUCGGGUUGUAAACCUCUUUCAGCACAGACGAAGCGCAAGUGACGGUAUGUGCAGAAGAAGGACCGGCCAACUACGUGCCAGCAGCCGCGGUAA